CUAAUACCCAAGCAUCCACUAUUGGGCACUGUAAGUGGCAAACUGGACAUCUUUCAUGAACUGAACUGUCUUCUUGGGCUUCACUGACUGCAAAAAUAGAAGAUAUUCUCCUGAGUGAUGACUGGUUUUCAUCCCAUCAUGUCCUGAGCUUCCACAUCCCUCUGCUCAAAGAAAUGCCAGUUCCUCCAACCACUUGUGUUUUGCUGGAUACCUGUCAACUCUUCACAUUCAGAGACCUUGGAAAAGUAACCAACUUUGAAGAUUUUGUAGCCGGCUUUUUGUCUGAAUGGGAAACUGCUGAGUUUCAUCUCAUCCCUGUUGUGACUAAUUCCAGACAGUCACACUCAGGAAACUGGGAAAAAGAGUCCUGA
rnacentral:lncRNA from 1 species